UAAGCAUUGUUCUUCAGAUUUAUCUAGCUUAUUGCCAAUAUUUCCAAUACACUUUGGCCAGCAAGUAGAGGUAAAUUGGUGAAUUGCUAAGGUUUUGGAUUAGCCUACAAUCAACCUUGUUUUUUACUAUAGUUGAUUCAUACCUUGCUGUAGCUUAACCUUCUGCUGCUCACUUUCAAUAAAUUUUGACAGCUCGAGUUGCUCGCUUUCACUCAAAUCGGCUAUAGGAUUUUUUGUUGCAUCUGCCAUUUUCUAUAAAAUAAAAAAUUUUUUAAUUUAAAGCACGCAAGAGUUAAUGGUUAUUGGUAGGUGCCAUUUGAUCAUUCACCGAAAGUGAGAUCUGUAUUUCUGUCCUUACAAUACACUAAAUAAAUAAACUUAAUUCAAGCGAAGAAAACUGUUCAAGUUUACAGAACCAUAAGUAGAAACAAUGUGAGUUGUCAGUUUCUUGCACUUUACUCAUUAUGGCAAUAGUUUUAUCUUUCACUGUUAUUUUGAUCUGUUUAACUACUCGCAUUUUAAUUACAAUUUGAUGGAAUGAUCCAACAGAUGGAAUAAAUGAAUUGCGAAUCUUGCUUACUUCAAUAUGAUUGAAUUAUAGUUCUUCAACAGACAAUUAAUAUCAGUACUUUAACACUUCUUUAAAA